UAGUCAUAUGCUUGUCUCAAAGAUUAAGCCAUGCAUGUCUAAGUAUAAACAUCUUUAUACAGUGAAACUGCGUACAGCUCAUUAUAUCAGUAAUUAUUUAUUUGAUGGUACCUUACUACAUGGAUACCCGUAGUAAUUCUAGAGCUAAUACAUGCGUAAAGUCCCAACUCUUGCGGGGAGGGAUGUAUUUAUUAGAUAAAAAAUCAAUGCAGGUUUUACCUGGUUAUUUGGUGAUUCAUAGUAACUGUUCGAAUCGCAUGGCUUUAUGCUGGCGAUA
rnacentral:rRNA from 1 species